rnacentral:rRNA from 1 species
AUCUCUUGGUUCUGGCAUCGAUGAAGAACGCAGCGAAAUGCGAUAAGUAAUGUGAAUUGCAGAAUUCAGUGAAUCAUCGAAUCUUUGAACGCACAUUGCGCCCCUUGGUAUUCCGGGGGGCAUGCCUGUUCGAGCGUCAUUACAACCCUCAAGCUCUGCUU